rnacentral:misc_RNA from 1 species
CCUCCCCCCUUACAUGAAGUAAAAGUCGUAACAAGGUAACCGUAGGUGAACCUGCGGUUGGAUCAUUACAAAUGAACCACCUUGAGGUUGAGUCGCUGCCUAGUUUACUAGCAGGGAUUCCCUCUUGGUAUAAACCACUGUGCACCGUUUUGUUUUUUGGGAGACUGUGUGAUAGGUUAGUAGUUUACGAAAACCAGUCCUGCUCCCAGCAUUAUCAACCAACCUAUUAAAUCAAACUGAAUUUUUUCUAUACGAAAUAAAUACAACUUUUGACAACGGAUCUCUUGGCUCUC